UAAUAUCCCGGGAUUUCCAAAUAAUAAAAAAAAAAUAUAUAAAAAAAAAAAAAAUAAAAAAAUAAAUAAGUUAACUAGAAACGAAAGUGAAGUAACAUGGCGACAGUUAUGGUUCCCGAUAAAGUACUGAAAAACUGGAACGAAAUAGGACGCAAAGACUUAUUGAGUUUAUGUAGCACUCCACCAAAGAAGAUGAGUUCACUUAUUUCAAAAAAAGAUCUUCGUAAAGGCUUUCAUCAGUUAAUAUGGCUAACCAUAAGCGGCCAGUCAAUAAUUUCAGAUACAAUAUCACUGCUAGAAAAUGCUAUAGGGGAUAGUAUAGAACUAGCAUCACUUUUUGCUGAUAUUCUUGCAGUUGCUGACACAGAAACAGUUUGCAUUGAAGAUAAGUCAUGCAGAGAGCAGUUCUUAUCUCUUCUUUCUGCAGUUAUCACAGUGGUUCCAGAUGGCGUUUUAAAAGAAAGGUUAGAUCCAGAAACGUUAGAGUCAGCUGGUUUUAUUCAGUCACAGAAAGUGUUCAAUCAAAAACUUGUGAGAACAAAGACAAAGUUAUUCUACAAACAGCAAAAGUACAAUCUUUUAAGAGAAGAGAGUGAAGGAUAUGCUAAGUUAAUUACAGAAUUAAGUCAAGACGUAUCACUUUCAAACCAGGCUUCAAUGCUUGAAAAUAUAAAAUCAUUACUGGGAUUUUUCAAUCUGGAUCCAAAUCGUGUGCUUGAUAUUUUAUUAGAAGCCUUUGAAUGUCAGGUAGAUGAGGAUUUGUUUUUCAUACCGCUAUUAACAAGUUACUUAUCACAUUGUGACAUCUCUGGUUUUUGUCAUCUUAUUGGUUUUAAAUUUCAGUAUUACCAUCAAUCAGUUGAUAGCAUUACUCCACAGUCGUUAUACAAAUUGGCAGCAUCAUUAUUGCGAAACAAUCUUUUAGAAAUGAGUGAUAUUUACCCUCAUCUUCAUCCAACAGAUAGUGAAAUACACAGUUUAAGCGAAAAAAUUACUGCUAAGGCAAAAGAAGAUGCAAAAAAAAUGAAUGCAAUUAUUUUAUCUGAAAAUGUUGAUUCAGAAGAUAAGUCUGAUAAAAAUGAUGAUGAUCUGAUUUUAAAAGACAACCAAAAAUUUGGGCUAUGCCAAGCUUUAUUGGAAAUAGGAGCAUGGAACCAAGCUUUAAAGAUCAUAAACCAACUUCCAAAUAGCUUACUAAUGAGUAAAUGCAAAAUUGCAAGUUCUUUAUGCCAUCUAAUUCAUUGCACUAUUGAACCUUUGUACAGAAGUAAAUUUAGCCCAAAAGGUGCCGUUGGAAAUGUCUAUAGAACCAAACGAGGUUUCCCUCAGCCAUGUUUACAAUACAGCCAGUUGUGUGAUUAUGUUUUUCCAAUGUUAUUUACUAUUGGUGUCCAGUUAUCUAUUGAUCCGAUACUAGUUGUGAAGAUUAUCAGAGUUGCUAAAGGAUUUAUGAAAGAGUACAAUCAGUUAACUGAAGCGCUGAAAGAAAAACAGAAAUGUGUUAUGGGAGGCAUUUUAACUUUGAUAGAUGAAGUUCUUUUUCCUGUGAUAUCUGUGCUUGAUUGCAACUGUGCAGUAGCUGAGGAAUUGUGGGGUCUUAUCAAAAGAUUGCCUUAUCAGCUAAGAUAUCGACUUUAUGCAUUAUGGAAAAACCAGACAUAUUCUGUUCAUCCAAAGCUCAUACUGGCUAAAGCGAAAAUCAUUAAACGAGCAAAAUAUAUUACAAAGCGCUUAUCUAAAGAAAAUGUGAAGCCAUCUGGACGUCAAAUUGGAAAAUUGAGCCAUAGCAACCCUGGAGUACUUUUUGACCAUUUGCUAGACCAGAUUCAAAGGUAUGAUAACUUUAUUGGGCCAAUGGUUGAUGCACUUAAAUAUCUUAACCCUCUUGCAUAUGAUGUGCUAGCAUUUUGUAUUAUUGAAGCAUUAGCAAAUCCUGAUAAACAACGAAUGAAGCAGUCUGAUACUAAUCUUUCUUACUGGAUGCAAAGUUUAUCACAAUUUUGUGGUGCUGUAUUUAAAAAAUAUCCCACAGAAAUUACUGGUUUGCUUCAAUACAUUGCUAACCAACUUAAAGAUGAGAAUAGUUUAGAUUUGCUGGUACUAAAAGAAGUUGUUCAAAAGAUGUCAGGUGUUGAAGCAAAUGAUGAAAUAACACCUCAACAACUUGAUGCCCUUUCUGGUGGGGAGCUUAUGAAAUCAGAGGGUGCAUAUUUCAGUCAAAUUCGAAAUACUCGAAAGCCAUCUUUGCGUUUACGUGAUGCCUUAAUGGAAGGAAAGUUGACUAUACCACUUUGUAUUCUGAUUGCACAACAAAGGAAUGCUGUUGUUUAUGUAGAAGAACAGCAACGUCACCUUAAAUUAAUCGGAAAACUAUAUGAUCAGUGUCAAGACAAUCUGAUUCAAUUUGGCGGUUUUCUCACAAUCCAGUUAAGCACUCAUGACUACCAGGCUAGCCUGCCAUCUUUAGAUGAGUUUCAUGAAACAUAUGGUUUAACUCCAGAUGUUUCAUUUUUCUUAACAAGACCUGUCUAUAAGUUUGAAAUACAGGAAAAGAUGGAGAUUUUAAAGCAGUCCAUAAGUCAACGCAAUGAUUUGACAUCUCAGAAAUUAAAGCAACAAGAAUUAGAAAAAUCUUUUUGUGAAACAUGUGACAACAUAUUUCGACCUGUGGUUGCUUCUGCUUUGCCAUUACAAACAAAUAAAAUUUGGGGAAAUUUAAGCCCUUUACUGUAUGUUACUUUUUGGUCAAUGACAAUGUACGAUUUAAAUGCACCAAAAAGUCGCUAUGAUGAUGAAAUCAGCAAAUUAGAAACAGCUAUAACAGAAGUAGAUGCUAGCAAAGAAAUAACUUCAAGUUCUAAAAGACGAAAAGAAAAAGAGCGAUGUCAGCUUUUAAUCGACAAAUUAAAGGAAGAGUUUCAAACUCAACUUGAGCACAACAAACUUAUUAGAAUAUGGCUCGAGUCAAAGAAAGAUGCAUGGUUUCCUUCAAAGAUGACAAAGGGAGAAAUGAUCACUCAAUUUUUACAACUCUGCAUUUUUCCAAGAUGUGUUUUUUCUGCUAUUGACGCUUUAUACUGUGCCAAAUUUAUACAAACUAUUCAUACGUUGCAAGCACCAAACUUUUCUACUCUCAUAUGUUUUGAUAGGACAUUUUCAGAUGUUUCGUAUAUUGUUGCAAGUCUGACAGAAAAUGAAGCAAGCCGUUAUGGUCGAUUUCUAUGUGCAAUGUUAGAAAUGGUAUCUCGAUGGCAUCAAAAUAAGCAACUUUAUGAAGAGGAGUGUGCUAAUGUCCCAGGAUUUUUGACAGUACUUCGGUUAACAAAUAAUGAGAAAGCCUCCUACUUAGAUUAUGAAAAUUUUCGUCAUGUUUGUUACAAAUGGCAGUAUAAACUUACUAAGGCUUUAAUAUUGGGGAUUGAAUCACAAGACUUUACACAAAUAAGAAACACAUUGUUAGUUUUGAUAAAGAUAUUGCCAUAUUACCCUCAAGUUCAGAAUCUGGGGCAGGCCCUGGAAAGAAGAAUCGAGAAAGUAAUUGAAGAAGAAAAAGAAAACCGCCAGGAUUUGCAGGCUCUAGCUAUUGGUUAUAAGGGAAUGCUCAAAACAAAAAAAGAAAAAAUGGUUCCUGAAAAUAAAUUUCAUGCAGAAAAUGAAAAGAAUUCAGUUAACAAAAACAAACCUGCUGUUAAGGCUAAUCUAAAACAAGAUGUAUCAGAUGACAGGACCUCAAAAGGUUUAAAAAGAGAAGAACUACCAAAACUCAGUGCUACAGAAAAGAGAACCAGCUCUCGAACAGACACUACCUCUGAUUCUACUGGUAAAAGUGAAAGAGAAAAAAUUGUUAUCGAGGAAAACAGCUAUGAAAGAAAAAAAGCAUCUAGCCACUCACCCCAUAAUAACUCAAGCAGUACAGAAAAAGUAGUCGAAGUCAGUAAUAGUAAAGAAAAUGGUGAGCGUUCUAAAGAAUCUGACAGAAUAAAAGAAAAAGAUGAUUGGUCAAAAGAAAAAAGAUCAAGAACUGAUUCUCCAACUAGUGAUGACCUAAAGAAGAGAAAACGUAUUUCAGAUGAUUCUCAUAAUGCUUCAAUAAAGAGAGACAAAUCAAAUGAGAAGAGGAAUGACAACAAAAGAAUUCAUAAGAAGCUUUCAGUUCACUAACAUCAUAAGAAGCUUUCAGCCCACAAACUUUAUUCUGUUCACAGAUUUAAAAGAAUCCUGAGAGAAAGGGUACAAUAUUCAAAUUGCAUGUUGCAGUGAGUUUUUUAUCAUCCCGCGAAUAUUUCUACUUAAUAUUACGUCUUAAAAGUCGAUUUUUUUUUUAUGAAUACGAGUUUGAAAGACGGACUAUAAAAUUGAUCACAUUUUAAACUGGUCAGUGUAAGUUAAUUAACUGCGUGUAUUAUGAUGACCUUGAGGAAGCUCAAAUAGACUUGGUCAGUCUGUUUUCCAAACAAAGAUUGAUUUUGUUUCUCAUUCAAAUUAUUACGUUCUAACUUUACCUAAAAUAAAGAAAAUUUUCUACCUACAGAUAUUAAAAAACCAAUAAAGAAAACAAUUAAAUUAUCGGCUCCAAGAUAUCAGUAAUAAAACCUUUCAAGUUAUUGAAUUGAUUUGGAUAUGAAAAUGGUACAUAAUGAUUAUUUUUUAAAUAAAAUUAUCAAGCUCGUUUUUAAAGAUUUCUAUGGCAAAAAAAUGUGCAAUAAAUGGAUUGCAGAAAUAACUUUCUUCAAACUUAAUUUAUUUAAUAGUAUUUUCUUCUACAGAAGUCUAUAUCGCUAAUGUACUUGGUGUUUAUUCUUUCCUUCUUUAAUAAAGCUCUGUGUUACUAUCACAGAUGAGAACUGAAAAUCAGAAAAGUUUAGUAAAUUAAAAACACUUUAAAUGAAGCAAUCUUCUGAACCAGAUUUAUCCGACUCUAAGAAAAGAAAGGAUGAAACUUCUGUAUCCGAAUCGAGUGAUCAAAGAAUAAAAAAAACUGAGGGUUUGAAACGUGAUAAAUCUAAAAAAGAUUACGAAAAAGACGACUCAAAGCAGCUUCGCAAA